rnacentral:tRNA from 1 species
GAGGGCAUAGCUCAGUGGUAGAGCACAUGCUUAGCAUGCACGAGGUCCUGGGUUCAAUCCCCAGGACCUUG